rnacentral:lncRNA from 1 species
UUGGCUGUCAGUGUGUGUGCAUUAAAAACCUGGGCAUUUUCCGGCUUUCCAGAGUCUUCAUUUCUCACUAACUUUUAGAGCCAAAGAUGCUGCGGGAUUCUACAGCUCAGCAGAGCAUGGGGGCAGGGCAUGCCAGGCGAGUGACCUCAGUCCUAGUGUACUCUCUCUAACACUCAAGUGGAAGACGCCUGAUGGUGUUCUCUGCACUGCAGUUGUGGGCGACUGGAGCAGCUGCUGCUUGGAUAGCAAGACCCCAAACACCAAGUGAAGGGAAUGACUUGGACUAAUGUUUCACUGAGCAGGCCUGAGACUAUAAUCAACCUCUGAGGUUAAAUUACAAAGCACCCUUCACACCUCAAAUGACUGAGGCUUUUAUAUGACCCAGCAAUGAACAAGCACAGAGGGACAGGCAUCUCCCACACAAGGGGGACAUCACUAAUCUGGGAGUUAUGUGGACACAAUCUGCUAUGGGUCAGACGCUUCCCUCUGAAGUCAUGUAAGGAGCGGUUCCAAGACACGAACAGCGACAACAAAUGUUACAGAUAAGCUCACAGAUGAGUCGGCCUGUGACGCCUGGGAGGCACAAGGACCCUGAACAGAGCGGUCAGCAGUGCCGAGACUGGCAAGGAGGUGACAGUGGUCUCAGCAAACGGAGAGGCUUGGUAUACUCUGAAUAAGUGUGUAAGUAUCCUACAA